rnacentral:rRNA from 1 species
UGCGCCUUGCCAGCCCGCUCAGAACUUAAAGGAAUUGACGGGGGCCCGCACAAGCGGAGGAACAUGUGGUUUAAUUCGAUGAUACGCGAGGAACCUUACCUGGGCUAGAACGCAUUCGGAAUCAGGCCCGAAAGGCCUGCGCCAGCGAUGGCCGCUUGCGAGGUGCUGCAUGGUUGUCGUCAGCUCGUGCCGUGAGGUGUCGGGUUAAGUCCCAUAACGAGCGCAACCCCUACUGCUAGUUGCCAGCGGGUCAUGCCGGGGACUCUAGCGGAACUGCCAGCGUAAGCUGCGAGGAAGGUGGGGAUGACGUCAAAUCAGCACGGCCCUUACGUCCAGGGCUACACACGUGUUACAAUGGCCGGUACAGAGGGCAGCCACCCCGCGAGGGGGCGCGAAUCCCGAAAGCCGGUCCCAGUUCGGAUCGGAGUCUGCAACCCGACUCCGUGAAGCUGGAUUCGCUAGUAAUCGCGCAUCAGCCACGGCGCGGUGAAUACGUUCCCGGGCCUU